rnacentral:rRNA from 1 species
UACAGGGGGUGCAAACGUUGCUCGGAAUUAUUGGGCGUAAAGAGCUCGUAGGCGGUCUGUUGCGUCGGCUGUGAAAACCCGGGGCUCAACCCCGGGCCUGCAGCCGAUACGGGCAGACUAGAGUUCGGCAGGGGAGACUGGAAUUCCUGGUGUAGCGGUGAAAUGCGCAGAUAUCAGGAGGAACACCGGUGGCGAAGGCGGGUCUCUGGGCCGAUACUGACGCUGAGGAGCGAAAGCGUGGGGAGCGAACAGG